rnacentral:rRNA from 1 species
AUUGAACGCUGGCGGCAGGCCUAACACAUGCAAGUCGAACGGUAACAGGAAGACGCUUGCUUCUUUGCUGACGAGUGGCGGACGGGUGAGUAAUGUCUGGGAAACUGCCUGAUGGAGGGGGAUAACUACUGGAAACGGUAGCUAAUACCGCAUAACGUCGCAAGACCAAAGAGGGGGACCUUCGGGCCUCUUGCCAUCGGAUGUGCCCAGAUGGGAUUAGCUAGUAGGUGGGGUAACGGCUCACCUAGGCGACGAUCCCUAGCUGGUCUGAGAGGAUGACCAGCCACACUGGAACUGAGACACGGUCCAGACUCCUACGGGAGGCAGCAGUGGGGAAUAUUGCACAAUGGGCGCAAGCCUGAUGCAGCCAUGCCGCGUGUAUGAAGAAGGCCUUCGGGUUGUAAAGUACUUUCAGCGGGGAGGAAGGGAGUAAAGUUAAUACCUUUACUCAUUGACGUUACCCGAAGAAGAAGCACCGGCUAACUCCGUG